rnacentral:rRNA from 1 species
GACGAAGGGGGCUAGCGUUGUUCGGAAUUACUGGGCGUAAAGCGCGUGUAGGCGGUUGUCCAAGUUGGAUGUGAAAGCCUUGAGCUUAACUCAAGAAAUGCAUUCAGGACUGGAUGACUAGAGGACCGGAGAGGAUAGUGGAAUUCCCAGUGUAGUGGUGAAAUACGUAGAGAUUGGGAAGAACACCAGUGGCGAAGGCGAGCU